rnacentral:misc_RNA from 1 species
AAGUCGUAACAAGGUUUCCGUAGGUGAACCUGCGGAAGGAUCAUUACUGAAUGCUGAGGGUUGUAGCUGGUGCCUUUGGGCGCAAGUGCUCGCCUUCUAUUCAUUUUACCACCUGUGAACCUUUGUAGAUUGUGGAUGUUGGUUUCAACUAGCAAUAGUUGGUUUGAGAGUUGCCUUUGGGCUGCUCUUGCGCAUCCCAAUCUAUGUUUAUCCAAUAUACACUGUAUGUUUUGAAUGUCAAUUUAUGGGUCUUUGACCUAUAGAACCUUAUACAACUUUCAACAACGGAUCUCUUGGCUCUC